rnacentral:rRNA from 1 species
GACGAACGCUGGCGGCGUGCCUAAUACAUGCAAGUAGGACGCAGUUGCGAACGGGUGAGUAACGCGUAGGUAACUACCUAUUAGAGGGGGAUAACUAUUGGAAACGAUAGCUAAUACCGCAUACUAGUAGAUGGACCUGCGUUGUAUUAGCUAGUAGGUGGGGUAAUGGCCUACCUAGGCAACGAUACAUAGCCGACCUGAGGAGGUGGUCGGGCAAACUGGGACUGAAGAACGGCCCAGACUCCUACGGGAGGGAGGAGGAGGGAAUCUUUGGCAAUGGGGGGAACCCUGACCGAGCAACGGCGGGUGAGUGAAGGAGGUUUUCGGAUUGUAAAGCUAUGUUGUUAAGGAAGCGGUACUUAAAGAGAAAGGGACGGCUAACUACGUGCCAGCAGCCGCGGUAAUAC